rnacentral:tRNA from 1 species
CGGGAAGUAGCUCAGUUUGGUCAGAGCACCUGCCUUGGGAGCAGGGGGCCGCAUGUUCAAAUCAUGUCUUCCCGACCA